UGGCUCAGAUUGAACGCUGGCGGCAGGCCUAACACAUGCAAGUCGAACGGUAACAGGAAGCAGCUUGCUGCUUUGCUGACGAGUGGCGGACGGGUGAGUAAUGUCUGGGAAACUGCCUGAUGGAGGGGGAUAACUACUGGAAACGGUGGCUAAUACCGCAUAACGUCGCAAGACCAAAGAGGGGGACCUUCGGGCCUCUUGCCAUCAGAUGUGCCCAGAUGGGAUUAGCUUGUUGGUGAGGUAACGGCUCACCAAGGCGACGAUCCCUAGCUGGUCUGAGAGGAUGACCAGCCACACUGGAACUGAGACACGGUCCAGACUCCUACGGGAGGCAGCAGUGGGGAAUAUUGCACAAUGGGCGCAAGCCUGAUGCAGCCAUGCCGCGUGUAUGAAGAAGGCCUUCGGGUUGUAAAGUACUUUCAGCGGGGAGGAAGGUGUUGCGGUUAAUAACCGCAGCAAUUGACGUUACCCGCAGAAGAAGCGCCGGCUAACUCCGUGCCAGCAGCCGCGGUAAUACGGAGGGUGCAAGCGUUAAUCGGAAUUACUGGGCGUAAAGCGCACGCAGGCGGUCUGUCAAGCCGGAUGUGAAAUCCCCGGGCUCAACCUGGGAACUGCAUUCGAAACUGGCAGGCUUGAGUCUUGUAGAGGGGGGUAGAAUUCCAGGUGUAGCGGUGAAAUGCGUAGAGAUCUGGAGGAAUACCGGUGGCGAAGGCGGCCCCCUGGACAAAGACUGACGCUCAGGUGCGAAAGCGUGGGGAGCAAACAGGAUUAGAUACCCUGGUAGUCCACGCCGUAAACGAUGUCUACUUGGAGGUUGUGCCCUUGAGGCGUGGCUUCCGGAGCUAACGCGUUAAGUAGACCGCCUGGGGAGUACGGCCGCAAGGUUAAAACUCAAAUGAAUUGACGGGGGCCCGCACAAGCGGUGGAGCAUGUGGUUUAAUUCGAUGCAACGCGAAGAACCUUACCUGGUCUUGACAUCCACAGAAGAAUCCAGAGAUGGAUUUGUGCCUUCGGGAACUGUGAGACAGGUGCUGCAUGGCUGUCGUCAGCUCGUGUUGUGAAAUGUUGGGUUAAGUCCCGCAACGAGCGCAACCCUUAUCCUUUGUUGCCAGCGAUUAGGUCGGGAACUCAAAGGAGACUGCCAGUGAUAAACUGGAGGAAGGUGGGGAUGACGUCAAGUCAUCAUGGCCCUUACGACCAGGGCUACACACGUGCUACAAUGGCGCAUACAAAGAGAAGCGACCUCGCGAGAGCAAGCGGACCUCAUAAAGUGCGUCGUAGUCCGGAUUGGAGUCUGCAACUCGACUCCAUGAAGUCGGAAUCGCUAGUAAUCGUGGAUCAGAAUGCCACGGUGAAUACGUUCCCGGGCCUUGUACACACCACCCGUCACACCAUGGGAGUGGGUUGCAAAAGAAGUAGGUAGCUUAACCUUCGGGAGGGCGCUUACCACUUUGUGAUUCAUGACUGGGGUGAAGUCGUA
rnacentral:rRNA from 1 species